AACAUAAUCAUUUGGAUAGCCAGACAGCCAAGGCGGCAGAUGUUGACUGGGUUUACUUGCAUUCAGAAUGGCAGCAAUUGGAUAUGUGAUCUUGGACCUGAGUAUGAAGCCAAUAUCGGUGAUAGAGGUAACAAACACACGGAAUUGUGAGUCUCAAGAAAGGUCAGAAAUGAGAGGAUCAGCAUGAGAAACAAGGACAAACCAUCCAAAUCAAGGGAAGAAAGCCCAGGUCAGAAGCUGACAAUUAAGAGAGCCCUUUCUCAGGGCUAAGAAGAAGGAGUGAAAAAUAAAUCUAGAGGGGCCAAUGAAAGAUAUCUGACACACAUAAAAUCAGUCACACAUGGGUGAACUGUAAGAGA
rnacentral:lncRNA from 1 species